CCUACCUGCUUAAAUUGUGAAUGCUAAAUAGAUCACACCAGGAUAAAGCUGGUUCUCAAGUUUGUAUCAUUUGUAAUUUCUCUCUGUAGCUACAUACUAUGAUUGAUCAGCAUUAGAUUUUGACUGCAGGAGAUGAGAGCUGCAGUUCUUUUGACUUGUAAAAGGUAGUCACCCAGAUGUGGCUGUGAUUUAUGUGGAGAAAAAUAUCAGCAGAAGAACUUUAAAACACUAUUUAGAAAUGUGCAAAUGAAGGUGUUAAUGUAAAAAUAUUCCUUAACAGGAUUAUACACACUAUCAGCAAUUCCACUGUUAAAAUAUGUUGUCUACUUUUAUCCUAGUAUGUAAGCACAUGGACUUCCUGGGGUACACAAACCACGCAUGUCUUCAUUUGGUGGAGGUGGAAAGUCAGAGGUCGCUCUUGGGAAGGCAAGUCAGGCUGCAUCUAGGAAAGCACCUGAGGUUUAGGCACAUCAGGUGCUCCCAUGGUUGACUCGUACAAGCAUCAAAGACUCUUCCUUGCCUGAGGACUGAUGCUCUUCCAUCACCUUCUUUCAUGACACAUCCUGCACAGUACCUGCCACAGGUAUCAUGAAGGUAAAAUGCUUUUCUGCUAUGUAUAACGUGCUGUAAAACUGUACAGGUGGCAUGUCCUAAUUUCCCUAAUUUUCUUUCAUAUCUGCACUAUUACUUAUGUAAGGUAGCUUUUGUGCAGAAUACUGCAAUAAAUAAGAUUUUUAUACUGUCAUGCCUGCUUGAGAUCACAGGAAGGUCAGGCCCCAAAAGUUUAGAAUAUAGUUGGAUCUAACUUUGAUUGCUUCCAUUUUUUGAUACCAAAAGCCUGAUUUUUAAGAACUGUUGAAUCGCCUCAGCUUCUAUUGAUUUUGUUUCCAUUUCAGAGACACAGAAAAAUCAGACUCGGAAAAACUGGACACUCAAAAUUAGAGAGCUUUUGGGAUUUUUUAAGUGUCCUUGCAUAAAUAGCUCACUUCAAGUGAAUUUCUGGUAAGUGAGUAGGACUUAAGUCUUUCAACUUACUUCAUCAUACGCUAAUAAGCACCUAAUAGUGGCUUGUUUUGAGAAAGUCUUAACCUUUCUUUUUUUUUUUUUUUAUGAAGUCUUUGAAAGCCAAAUCCAGCUCAUUUUUCUAUUACAGACUGUUAAAGGAAGUGAAUAAUUUGUAAAACUCUGCUGAGAAAAAGAUUGGAAAUAAUACUAAAAAAAAGGUUAGAGGUCUUUUGUGUAAAAUAGUAACACAGCUUCUCUUUCUGUAGCAUUUUGGUCUCCUUUGCCACAAAAUAUAUCUGAAAUAAAAUGAGAUUCAGAGAAGUGGAACAAAGAGUUAUGGAGUAAAAAAGCAAUUUCCAUACAGGCAAAUUGGAGGUAGUAAGAUGUCUGAGUUUAAAAAGAAAGAGAAGCUUAAGAAAAGAUACGUAUUCAGUAUAUGCAGUUAGCAAUGUACUUGCAUUUCCCAAGCUUUAUGUUCAUCUCACUAGCUCAACUUUAGAAUCAGAUGAAUGUUAUUAAUGUUAAUUUUAGAACUUUUUAUUUUGGAUAUUUAAAGAUCCAUCUAGCACAACAUUAGAAUUAGAUUGUAUCCACUAAAUUAGGUGGCAAGCCACGAACGUUCACUGGUACGAGUUUCUUCUCCAGCACUAUAUUGAAUUUGUCUUUCAGUGUCUUCUCAACCUCUUCAUCUGUAAGAGUUGUGAUCUGCACCUGGUCCAUGUCUUCUGUGUAGGUGUACUUCAUCUCAGUGAGGGUCCAUCCAACUAAGGCAUAAAGCCCUUCAGUGGUUUGGAGAGUGCAGAUUGACUUCUUCUGAAGUAUGUUAUCUGGAGACACUUAUGAGAUGGGAGAGAUUACCUUGCAGUGACUGUUCUCAGCUUUGGCCCAGCUGCUCCCCUACGAGCCACCAGCAGUUCGACCUGAUGUCCGUGCCAGUGCUCAAGUGAAUGCUGGGAGCUCUUGCAGAUCCCACCUCUAAUACAUAAGUGGAGAUAACCCUGCCCCAGAAGGGCAAGGGCACUCAACUCUGGCACGAUGUCCUUGAAAACAUUGGUUGUAGAAAGCCAUUCCCUCCCAGACAGCACAUGUGUACACUGCAGCCCAGCUUUGUCCAGCAGUCGUGCCCAUUCGCAGGGGCAGCUUGGAGGGUGGCGAGAGUCGGACAUCAGUUCUGCCUGGCUGCGACCGUCCCGGGGGAUCCCUGAGUCCUUGCAUUGUCGGAGGGAACACUGCUGAAAUUCCUGAGAGGUUUCCAAGAUUGAACUUCCUGGUUAGGGAGCACUCAGCCGCCAAGAUUCGGGGUUGAAAAAAAAGGCUUACCUGGAAAACUGGCAGUGUACCUCCGGGGUUUGGGUGGGAAGGUUUUAGGCUAAAGCCAGUGGCGUGGCUGGCUGUCCUUUACCUAGUGCCGACAGCGCCUGGGGACUGUCCUCCAGCUCCUCUUCAGGGGAAUGCUUGUUCCCUCAACCUGCUUUCACCCGCCUCUGUCAGACUGCAAAAGCUGGGGGAAAGAAAAACAACAAACCAACCACCAGCAGAAGGGUGGAGCACAAGAGCUGUAGAGAGAGAGGAAAAUCAACAGCACUGACUCAACACGCAAGCAAACCCCGGUGGAUAUUAGAACAGAGGCUGCUUCACAUUUUCACUCAUUUUGUGCUUUCUGCAGAGCCUAGCUGGGGCUGUGACAAAAAAGGGUACUUUUUUUGUUUCAGUAACUAGCUGAAUGCACUCAUAUAUAUAUAUAUAUGUAUACACUAAUUAUUUUUUCCCCAGGUAUUAACUUACUAUUGUUUGGAAAUGUGGGGAAGAAAUCUUGCAUGCAUUCAACCCAAGGAGGUUUUUGCACUGUUUCUGAAAAGCAGCAAGAUUUUGGCACAACAGUUUGCACCUGCAAGCCCCUGCCUCAGUCAGCUUGUACAAGAACUUCAGCUUUUGCUUCAUUUGCACUGUAAGAUUGAUGUGCAUUUUUUAAUUACAGUAAAGUUCAUAGAAUGUAAGAGAGCACUGGGACAGCAGUGGGUCUUCUUUUGUUUUUGCCCACAAGCAGCAGCUGAGGAUUUCAUUAUAGUGAAGAUGCUACUGGCAAAGUGAUUACUAUGGAGAACGAACACAGAGAGCUCCAGCCUUUUGAUGUGUUUCUUACUGCUUUUGUAUCUACAGAAUUUGCUUGCAUUUGGCCCAUCUAAGUCUCAUUUAUACUCAUGUAUAUACAGCUGGAUUCUUUCCUUUUCAUUCCCCAACAGUAGUUCCAGUCCUUCACAUGUACUAUCAGUGGCAAGUUUCAUUCAAACACUGAUUUAUUGUAACAAUUAGCAGAAGUAACAAAUCAGACUAAACAGAGAUGUCUGUGGUAACUCCUUGCACAGCUCCACUCCCAUAUCAAAAUUUGGCUCUUUAUCAUCCCAUCAGUGGCCGGGGUUUGACCCUGCAAGCCAGAACUGAUGCCCCAGCCGAGGGGCACUGAAGGGAAUGGAUCACCUGCCCUUGUCGGGCACCUCUGGGCAGAUCCAAUUUGGUACAAAGAGAAAGUUCAUAAUCCUGGGUGGAUCUUGCUGCACAUGGAACAAUCCCUUCUCUUCCCACAGACUGAGAUUCCCUGAUUUUGAGAAAGAGAGGGUGAAAACAGAGGAGGCAGAUGUGCAGUCCUGGUAGGAACCAUGCCAAAAAGUAGCCCAUGGACUUGUUGCUUUGCCAUGUGUGAGAACACCUGGCUGUGCUCCUUGCCCAGAGACAUUUGGGACCACAGACUGUGCCAGAAGUGGACACUUGCCAUGCUCCCAUGGGCAAAUGUGAAGUGCUUGGGGAUCUGUCCCAGCUAACUCUGGGGUCCCAUUAGGACAGAAGUGUUUUCUAACCAAGUAGGAGCAAAACCCAUUUAUCCUGGCACUUCAAUACUCAGCUUUUCUCCACACCUCUCCCUGUAAUGUUGCUCUGAUAUUGAGCAUUUUCUUCCCAUGUUUUUCAGAGUCUCAUCCCAACUCACUAUUCCAUCCUGUCAUUCCCACAUCACUCUCCUUUUUCUUCCCAUCCUGUACAUUUUCCUCCUCAAGCCAUUAAAACCACAAGCUCUCAUUCUCCCCAGGCGUGCCCAAGGCCAUCAGAGGGCAAAGCUGACUCAAGGAGCACUAAGGGUAAGAAAGGGCUGACCUUGACCCAGGAAGUCUGUUUGCAUUUCACUCUGUGCCAGAUCACUGGGGCUAAUUUCAGGCUUGGUGAGGCAAUAAGCAGCAAUCACAGCUGCCAGGUAACACUGCCACAACGUGCCUGCACCCAUCCCCAAAAGCAGCAGAGGGCAAAGCCCAGCUCAGGCUGGCUGGGUUCCAGGGAGGUUGUCUGCAGGUGAAGGUGCAAAUGGGAAUGCCCUUGAGAAGGAUAUUGAUGUCCACCUGACACUAUAAUGCAGUUUUCCAACCUUGGCAGGAGCUGAAGUUGAUUGAACUUUUUUCCAGAAGAUGCUCAGUGUAAUUGCACUUGCUUUUGCUUAUUAAUAAAUUCUAAACUGCCAACAGCAUUUAUUUUAUUACUGAAAUCCUCUAUCAUCCCAACUCUCCUGAGAGGCUGCCUUAAAUAUCCCCAGACACACACUUUAAAAGACUAUUAUCUGCUGCAGUAUUUGCUUGGGGAAAUAAGCACAUAGGGUACCCUGUUUGGGGUAAUAGUCAAGUGUCAGCUCACUGCUCUAUAAUGACCUCUGGGAUGGGCUGUAUAACAAAGCAAGAUAUAUUAUUUUACAUUAAUCAUUAUAUUAAUAAUUAUAUUAUAUAAUAAUAUAAUAUAUAAUAAUAUGUUGUAUUAUACUGUAUUUUAUUAACUGGAUGCUUAACUUACAAACUAUAUGGUAUUCUAAUUAACUAUCUGGUUUUGGUGGGGAGGAGACAAGAGAGAUUUGAGAGACUUCUAAAGUAAUAAAACAAGGUGUUUUAAAUGGAA